ACGCUAGCGGCAGGCCUAAUACAUGCAAGUCGAGGGGUAAAUAUUGUAGCAAUACGAUAUGAGACCGGCGCACGGGUGCGUAACACGUAUGCAACCUACCUUUUACUGGGGUAUAGCUCCGAGAAAUCGGAAUUAAUCCCCCAUAACACUGCGAGAGGGCAUCUUCUAGCAGUUAAAGCUCCGGCGGUAAAAGAUGGGCAUGCGGUACAUUAGCUAGUUGGUGAGGUAAUGGCUCACCAAGGCUACGAUGUAUAGGGGGUCUGAGAGGAUGAUCCCCCACACUGGUACUGAGACACGGACCAGACUCCUACGGGAGGCAGCAGUAGGGAAUAUUGGUCAAUGGACGCAAGUCUGAACCAGCCAUGCCGCGUGCAGGAUGACAGCCCUAUGGGUCGUAAACUGCUUUUAUAAGGGAAGAAACCCCUGGAUGCGUCCGGGGCUGACGGUACCUUAUGAAUAAGGAUCGGCUAACUUCGUGCCAGCAGCCGCGGUAAGACGAAGGAUCCAAGCGUUGUCCGGAUUUACUGGGUUUAAAGGGUGCGUAGGCGGGGUGCUAAGUCAGUGGUGAAAGCCCGCAGCUCAACUGCGGAACUGCCAUUGAAACUGGCACUCUUGAAUACGGUGGAGGUAGAUGGAAUGUAACAUGUAGCGGUGAAAUGCUUAGAUAUGUUACAGAACACCGAUUGCGAAGGCAGUCUGCUACACCGUGAUUGACGCUGAGGCACGAAAGCGUGGGGAGCAAACAGGAUUAGAUACCCUGGUAGUCCACGCCCUAAACGUUGAUUACUCGCUGUUGGCGAUACACUGUC
rnacentral:rRNA from 1 species